CGUGUCCAUCACGAGCGCAGGCGUUACAGUUCGUCGCACCCGUCUAUACCCACGAGGCCGGCCAGCCGGCCAGGACCCCAGAUCUCCAAUUUCGAUUCGACGCGAUCCCUCCCGUCCCGCUAGAAUUCCACCUAGGUUUACGGCCUGCCGCCCGCCGGAUCCCGAGUUGGCGGUGGCGACUGGCGAGGGGCUGGUGGCUGGGCUGCACGCUGGAACCCGGCGCCGCGGCGGAGCAUGGCGACCGCCUGGCCAGGAGGCGUCACGGGGUCAUAGAGAGGCGCCGAGCGCUUCUCCUCGGCCGCCGCCGCCGCCGUUAACACCUUCCCGUCCAGCCUUCUUCCUCAUAGAUCUAGGGUAGACGGGGAGCAGAGGAGCAGUCCGCAGAUCAGGAGGAGGAGCAGAUCCGGGUCCAGCGUUGGCUGCAGCCAUGCGGAUGAUCCAGGGGGAGCUUGAUGCAAGCACGAUGCCGAAUCUCUCUGGUGCGGCGCGGUUGCCGUACGUCAGGGAGAGGCACCGGCCGGGCGCUUCUCCUCGGCCGCCGACGCCGCAGCAGCCCAUACGUUGCCUUCCUCGUCCAGCCGUCUUCCUCCGAGAUGUGAUUGGUAGAGGAGCACGAGGAGCAACAGAUCCAAGUUCAGCGAUGCUGGCUGCAGCCAUGCAUGGGACGCUAGGUCGAUCAAGGGGAGGCGAAUGAUGCCAGCGGAUGCCCCAUGAGGUUUGCCUUAAACUUUGAUUCUAGUCAUCUACUGAUUUUUAGCAUGUGGCGUGGGAACUGAAAGUCUGAAACUUGUACCCAAGUUUCCAUGUCGCCCGAAAACUUACACCGCGGAGAACAUUUCUCUUUGCUACCACGAUAGGCAACGAGCUAUCGUGGACUGAAUAUUGAAAUAGUACUGUAUUUUAUUAUAGUAAACUGGAAAGAUUCUGCAAUAUGACCACACAUAUCUUUGCCAUCUUGAGUAGAGUAUAGGUUACUGAUAAUAUCGUUGUUUAAGAGCAUCUCCAAAGCAGAUCCUCAAAGUCCACGUAUAUAUCCGGACCACAAUAUUUGGAUAGCUUUUGUCAUUCAAUACGAACUCGUAUGUCCACGGACUAGUCCGCAUGUUUAAAAUCCGAUAUUCUGGAAACAACCAUGAGGCGUCAGGGGGCUAUGCGGGAGUUCGAACAUCCUCCAAACCAACAAAAAGCUAUCAUGUGCCUACGCUACCACGCAUUCCGUUCUCCCCUCUCUCCUCCAAAAGCAAGAGGAGUAGUGAUGCAUACAGGGACCACACACCCACUUGCCCUCUCCUCCUUUCUCCCACUGCAAUUUCUUUCACGAAAUUUGCAAAUAGCUUUGGAUGGUUGCCUUCCACAUCUUGUCCGCUGACAGCGUCCGGACACGUUUGAGGACAUUGUAGUGUCUGUUUUAGGGAUUUACACUAGAGACGCCCUCAGGCUGCUUAUUACCAAGUGGGAAUUUCCGGGUUCGAUUUUAAUCAUAGGCCAUUUAAGUUUGUUUGUUUUUCUCCGUAGUUUUUUUAAGAAACCAGGAGUUAUUUUUUCCAUUUCAGUUCAAAUUUCGAAGUAAUCAUACUUGAAAUAGUAAACACUACUUGUCUUCUUUCCAUGUGUAGCAAACUUUCCUCGUUUACAAUUUUUAGUCUAAUACUUCUUAAGGAAAUUUGCAGUACUAGAACAACUCCAGCAGAGUUGUCAUAUCAAGCCAAACAACAUAAUAACCUGUAUGGCGACUUUGACCAAAAAAGCCGUUCUAGCAGAGUCGCCAUCCACCACUCCAUUGCCAUAUGUUUGGAGGGAACUCCGAAUCAAGACCUACCUUAAUAUUUGGAGGACAGGGAGAGGGACAUUUAGAGCGCACACCAUCCCAAAAACUGCUACUUGGCGUGAGCGACAUUUCCCCUCCGUCCCCUCUUCCCGCCCGUGAUGCCACCUCACACACCUCCUCGUAGCACAACCUCCGUUCGACCACAUGCCAUGUUGAUGACACCAUCAACUCCGACACGACCCCUGCAUCCCAUUCCUCCGAUCUCCCAUGGGAUCAUGCACUUCCCUCUCAUCCUUGUCCUCCAUACUAUUCAGCGCAACCCCCCUCAACAUCACGUUGCCGAGGACACCACCUCGUUGGAUCUUCCAUCGACGAUGCAACCACACAGGCUGCAGACCCUCUGCUGUCAAGCAUCAACUCCAUCCUCCAACCUCCCCCACAGCCACCACAUUGUGUUGGUUGCCCAACCAUAGCGAAGAACAAUACAAAAUGGAGGAAGAAGGUGAAUUUCAACUCCCCACUUUGUUCAAGCAGUUGUCGAAGCAUUGGCGCCUUCGAACUUUGAAGCAUUUGGUGAUAUGCAAAGUUGGCAAAUAAACCUCCUUCCUUUGUCCUUUCAUUUGUUUGCUUCAAUGCAAGGUGUUAGUAGAACAAUGGUGGUAGCUAUGUAAUCUUUGUGCGUAGUGUUGCUUUUAUGUAUUUCAGAGGAUUGCUUGUUAAUAAUGAAUCCUUAUUGAGGGAUAUGACGCAAGAUUCAGUUGAUACCAAUAAUUUGAAUAGUAGAGACUUCUCUCUUCAUUAAAUAUUGUUGAGCACUCUGAGUGGUCAGAUGCUGCGAGCAAAGAUGCGCAACUGGAUCAAUUCCAUGCCUCCUAAUCUUCUACAAAGAAAGCAUCUCCGGUUUCAAACUACAUCAAUGAAGAAGACCUUCUGUUUUGUUGGCAUGGCAUGAUACCACUCUGGAUGCGGUUGCCAAGAAUGGUCAAACUAGUAUAGAGUAUUGGAAGUGACCAAAAGAGAGUUCUAACCAUCAAGGAAGGUAUUUGGAGCAAGUAAGGAACCCAUCUCCUAGUAGUGUUACCAUUAACAACAUGGGAUAGCCCAGGAAAGGUACAAACAACUGCCGAGGGUGAAGGGGAAAGCAUUUGGCCUUUGACCUCGUUGAGAAGGAUUAGAGGGCAAUGUGAAGAGGAAAUAGAAGGAGGAGUCUCCACCCUUGAAACAAAUGAGUCAAUCCAUUGACGCCAUUUUGUUGGAAAGCCUUUCAUAUGCAUAUAUUGUUGCAAGAAUGGCCAUUUAAAUUUGUUAUAGGCCUUUCCAAAAUCUACUUUGAAGAUAGCUCGGUCAAGUUUCGUCGAUCGCAACGUAUGGAUCCUUUCAUGUAAUACAACAAUCCCCUCCAGGAUGUGUCGCCCUGGCAUGAACGUCGUUUGUGUCGUCC